rnacentral:piRNA from 1 species
UCGGUGAUUUGGUUAUUGAUU